UACGUAGGGGGCAAGCGUUAUCCGGAUUUACUGGGUGUAAAGGGAGCGUAGACGGAAUGGCAAGUCUGAAGUGAAAUGCCCGGGCUCAACCCGGGAACUGCUUUGGAAACUGUCGAUCUGGAGUGUUGGAGAGGUAAGUGGAAUUCCUGGUGUAGCGGUGAAAUGCGUAGAGAUCAGGAAGAACACCGGAGGCGAAGGCGGCUUACUGGACAAAGACUGACGUUGAGGCUCGAAAGCGUGGGAAGCAAACAGG
rnacentral:rRNA from 1 species